rnacentral:rRNA from 1 species
AGAGUUUGAUCCUGGCUCAGAUUGAACGCUGGCGGCAGGCCUAACACAUGCAAGUCGAGCGGCAGCGGGAAAGUAGCUUGCUACUUUUGCCGGCGAGCGGCGGACGGGUGAGUAAUGCCUGGGGAUCUGCCCAGUCGAGGGGGAUAACAGUUGGAAACGACUGCUAAUACCGCAUACGCCCUACGGGGGAAAGGAGGGGACCUUCGGGCCUUUCGCGAUUGGAUGAACCCAGGUGGGAUUAGCUAGUUGGUGGGGUAAUGGCUCACCAAGGCGACGAUCCCUAGCUGGUCUGAGAGGAUGAUCAGCCACACUGGAACUGAGACACGGUCCAGACUCCUACGGGAGGCAGCAGUGGGGAAUAUUGCACAAUGGGGGAAACCCUGAUGCAGCCAUGCCGCGUGUGUGAAGAAGGCCUUCGGGUUGUAAAGCACUUUCAGCGAGGAGGAAAGGUUGGCGCCUAAUACGUGUCAACUGUGACGUUACUCGCAGAAGAAGCACCGGCUAACU